GAUAAGAUAAGCUAAUGUAAAGCUAUCGGGCUCAUACCCCGAAAAUGGAUUUAUCCUCUUGUCA
rnacentral:tRNA from 2 species